rnacentral:tRNA from 1 species
GGGCCCGUAGCUCAGUCGGUUAGAGCAGCGGACUCAUAAUCCGUCGGUCGUCCGUUCGAGUCGGACCGGGCCCA